rnacentral:rRNA from 1 species
UAUCACUGUUAAGGUUCGCCCGCAGAUGCGGGAGCCGCAAUAAACCAUAUGACUUUAUUUUAGACAAGCAAAAUUUCAUGGAAAAAUGAGCGAAUGGCAUAAAAUUUUUAGAAACGGCCCCGUUUUGACUCAUUCCCCGGAGGAAAAGAAAGUAAAAACGAUUCCGAAAGUAGUGGCGAGCGAAAUCGGAGAAGCCCAAACCAAACAUAGUAAUAUGUUUGGGGUAAGGACCGCGAGAUAGUAUCGGAAUGGGUAGUCGAAGUAUCUGGAAAGGUACUGCAAAGAGGGUGAAACACCCGUAGACGAAACCUUGAACGAGCGAGCGGAAUCCGGAGUACGUCGGGACAGCAGAAAUCCAGAAGGAAGAAAUGGGGACCAUCCCAAAAGGCUAAAUACGACCAUGUGACCGAUAGCGAAUAGUACCGUGAGGGAAAGGUGAAAAGAACCCCGGGAGGGGAGUGAAAUAGAACCUGAAACCCUGCACUUACAAGCUGUGGGAGCACAUUACUUGUGUGACCGCGUACUUUUUGUAGAACGGGCCAACGAGUUACGUUAAGUAGCAAGGUUAAGCACUUAAGGUGUGGAGCCGUAGCGAAAGCGAGUCUUAAAUGGGCGAUUAAGUUACUUGGCGUAGACCCGAAACCGGGCGACCUAUCCAUGAGCAGGUUGAAGCGAAAGUAAAAUUUCGUGGAGGACCGAACCCACGAGCGUUGAAAAGCUCGGGGAUGACUUGUGGAUAGCGGUGAAAUUCCAAUCGAGCCCGGAGAUAGCUGGUUCUCCCCGAAAUAGCUUUAGGGCUAGCCUCAAGCGUAGAGAAACGGAGGUAGAGCACUGAAUGUCCUAGGGGGUAUUGCACUUACCGAAGACUAUCAAACUCCGAAUGCCGUUUUCUUUUACUUGGGAGUCAGACUGUGGGUGAUAAGAUUCAUAGUCAAAAGGGCAACAGCCCAGAUCGUCAGCUAAGGUCCCUAAAUGUACGUUAAGUGGUAAAGGAUGUGGGAUUGCACAGACAACCAGGAUGUUGGCUUAGAAGCAGCCACUCAUUUAAAGAGUGCGUAAUAGCUCACUGGUCGAGUGAUCCUGCGCCGAAAAUUUCCGGGGCUAAAACGUACUACCGAAGCUACGGCAUCAUUUAUGAUGGGUAGGGGAGCUUCGUAUGCAGGCUGAAGCAUGACCGUAAGGACAUGUGGACAGUAUACGAGUGAGAAUGUUGGCAUGAGUAGCGAGACGUGGGUGAGAAUCCCACGGGCCGUAAACCCAAGGUUUCCAGGGGAAGGUUCGUCCGCCCUGGGUUAGUCGGGACCUAAGCCGAGGCCGAAAGGCGUAGGUGAUGGACAACAGGUUGAUAUUCCUGUACCGCCAAUAAGCGUUUGAGAGAUGGAGUGACACAGUAGGAUAAGCUAACCGUACUGUUGGUUAUGUACGGCUAAGCAUUGAGGCAGUCUAAAUAGGCAAAUCCGUUUAGACAAUGCUAGGAUGUGAUGGGGAAGCCCUUCGGGGCGAAGUAGCUGAUUUCACACUGUCAAGAAAAGCUUCUAUCGAGUUUAAAGGCGCCCGUACCGUAAACCGACACAGGUGGGUGAGGAGAGUAUCCUAAGGCCAGCGAGAGAACUAUUGUUAAGGAACUCGGCAAAAUGACCCCGUAACUUAGGGAGAAGGGGUGCCUGUCUAUGACAGGCCGCAGAGAAUAGGCCCAAGCGACUGUUUACCAAAAACACAGGUUUCUGCUAAGUCGCAAGACGAUGUAUAGGAGCUGACGCCUGCCCGGUGCUGGAAGGUUAAGGGGAUCUGUUAGAGCAAUCGAAGCAGUGAACUUAAGCCCCAGUAAACGGCGGCCGUAACUAUAACGGUCCUAAGGUAGCGAAAUUCCUUGUCGGGUAAGUUCCGACCCGCACGAAAGGCGUAACGAUUUGGGCACUGUCUCAACAAUAGACUCGGUGAAAUUGUAAUCCCGGUGAAGAUGCCGGGUACCUGCGACAGGACGGAAAGACCCCAUGGAGCUUUACUGUAGCUUGACGUUGGGUCUUGGUACUACAUGUACAGGAUAGGUGGGAGACUAUGAAGCAUGGACGCCAGUCUGUGUGGAGUCAUCCUUGGGAUACCACCCUUGUAGUACUGGGAUCCUAACCAUAGGCCUUGAAUCAGGUCUUGGAACACCGUCAGGUGGGCAGUUUGACUGGGGCGGUCGCCUCCUAAAAAGUAACGGAGGCGCUCAAAGGUUUCCUCAGCACGGUCGGAAAUCGUGCGAAGAGUGUAAAGGCAAAAGGAAGCUUGAUUGCAAGACAUACAGGUCGAGCAAGGACGAAAGUCGGACUUAGUGAUCCGGUGGUACCGCAUGGAAGGGCCAUCGCUCAACGGAUAAAAGCUACCCUGGGGAUAACAGGCUUAUCUCCCCCAAGAGUCCACAUCGACGGGGAGGUUUGGCACCUCGAUGUCGGCUCA